UAACCCCUGCCAGCGCUGGGAAGUGGCAGCUCCCCGGCUGUGGGGGAGCACAGCCCACGACCCCGUGGCUCUGCUCUGCCCUGGAACCCGGCUUCUGCUGCAGCCCACCUGAACGGAGAAAAGAAACAAUUGUUAUCCCUGUCCUUCCCUUUUGCUGCUUCUCUCCCCAACCUCUGAACGUGGGUUUGCGUUUUUCUGCUUGCACUUAGGUCUGGACUCAGAUUGCCCCAAAAACCAAAUGGAUGUAGAUUGCCGAAUAUGCUUGUAUAAUUCAGAGAAAUCUGCAUUCUGGAGGGAUCCCUGUCAAACAUUGGGAAGGAAGAUGAUGGGCUGAAGUGUUUCAGGAGAGACUGUGCAAUCCAAUGUGCCUUUUGUCUCACCACUCCUACUUGCCAGGCACUGGAUGUGGGGUUGAGACACCUAGACCACAUCUCUGCAGAAAGUGAUGGUGGUGCAAGAGCAAGCCUGCAGAUAUCAUUGCUGGAUUGCUGUUUAUUCUUGUGGAUAAAAGAAAAGAUGUGCUUAGCGAAU